GUCUUCUAAUCCUUUGCUCGUUCAGGUUGGUGCUAUGGCUCAUGGAAAGGUUGAUGAUGAGUACGUUGAAGACUACAUAUCAAUCUCAGGUUAUCCGAUGAGUGCCGCAUGGUGUAUUGCAAGAAUUUGUGAAGGAUUGCAACAUAAAUGGAGUGUCUUGUGAAUUCCUUGCUGAGUUAGUCUUUUAGCGAAUAACUACUGAUAGUCUGAAACAUAAUGAACCUUCUCUUAAUGAAAUGAAUAUGCCUUAAUUUUAAGCAGAUACUCAA